CAAUAGCGUAUAUUAAAGUUGUUGCAGUUAAAAAGCUCGUAGUUGGAUUUGUGGCGUACGGUGGGUUCCGGGCACUUGUUGUCUGAGUAACUUGCUGUUGCCAUCCUUGGGUGGAACCUGUGUGGCAUUAGGUUGUCGUGCAGGGGAUGCCCAUCAUUUACUGUGAAAAAAUUAGAGUGUUCAAAGCAGGCUUAUGCCGUUGAAUAUAUUAGCAUGGAAUAAUGAGAUAGGACUUUUUUGCUAUUUUGUUGGUUUGCGCAAAGAGGUAAUGAUUAAUAGGGACAGUUGGGGGUAUUCGUAUUCCAUUGUCAGAGGUGAAAUUCUUGGAUUUUUGGAAGACAAACUACUGCGAAAGCAUUUACCAAGGAUGUUUUCAUUAA
rnacentral:rRNA from 1 species